rnacentral:rRNA from 1 species
UACGGAGGGGGCGAGCGUUGUUCGGAAUCAUUGGGCGUAAGGGCGCGUAGGCGGCCUUGUAAGUCAGAUGUGAAAGCCCUUGGCUUAACCAAGGAACUGCAUCUGAAACUGCAGGGCUUGAGUCCGGGAAGGGAGAGUGGAAUUCCCAGUGUAGCGGUGAAAUGCGUAGAUAUUGGGAGGAACACCGGUGGCGAAGGCGGCUCUCUGGACCGGUACUGACGCUGAUGCGCGAAAGCUAGGGGAGCAAACGGG